rnacentral:rRNA from 1 species
UACGUAGGGUGCGAGCGUUAAUCGGAAUUACUGGGCGUAAAGCGUGCGCAGGCGGUUCGUUAUGUCCGAUGUGAAAGCCCCGAGCUCAACUUGGGAAUGGCAUUGGAAACUGGCGGGCUGGAGUGUGGCAGAGGGGGGUGGAAUUCCACGUGUAGCAGUGAAAUGCGUAGAGAUGUGGAGGAACACCGAUGGCGAAGGCAGCCCCUUGGGCCAACACUGACGCUCAGGCACGAAAGCGUGGGGAGCAAACAGG